UCCCUCUUAGCUCAGUGGUAGAGCGCUUCACUAGUAUAGAAUCCUACGUUCCAAAUAUGAAGAGGUCAGUCGUUCAAGUCGGCUAGAGGGAA